GGAGGCUGGGCUGGGACGGACACCGGGCCUCCACUUUGGGUGGCAGGUACCUCCUCCAUGUCGGCCCGCCUUG
ensembl:miRNA